GACAGAGGGGGCAAGCGUUGCUCGGAAUUACUGGGCGUAAAGGGCGCGUAGGCGGGGCGGCAAGUCGGUUGUGAAAUCCUCCGGCUCAACCGGAGAACGUCGACCGAUACUGUCGUUCUUGAGGGUUGCAGAGGAGACUGGAAUUCCCGGUGUAGCGGUGAAAUGUGUAGAGAUCGGGAGGAACACCGGUGGCGAAGGCGGGUCUCUGGGCAAUUCCUGACGCUGAGGCGCGAAAGCGUGGGGAGCAAACGGG
rnacentral:rRNA from 1 species